CACUACACGCGCUCAGGACGAUGGCCAUGGAGGUUGGCACCUGCUACGGAGUGUGUAACAACUCACCUGUCGAAUCAACUAACCCUGCAAAUGGAUGGCGCUUGA
rnacentral:ncRNA from 1 species